UUGACCUCGGAUCAGGUAGGGAUACCCGCUGAACUUAAGCAUAUCAAUAAGCGGAGGAAAAGAAACCAACAGGGAUUGCCUCAGUAACGGCGAGUGAAGCGGCAAGAGCUCAAAUUUGAAAGCUGGCUCCUUCGGGGUCCGCAUUGUAAUUUGCAGAGGAUGCUUCGGGAGCGGCCCCCAUCUAAGUGCCCUGGAACGGGCCGUCAUAGAGGGUGAAAAUCCCGUCUGGGAUGGGGUGUCCGCGCCCGUGUGAAGCUCCUUCGACGAGUCGAGUUGUUUGGGAAUGCAGCUCUAAAUGGGUGGUAAAUUUCAUCUAAAGCUAAAUAUUGGCCGGAGACCGAUAGCGCACAAGUAGAGUGAUCGAAAGAUGAAAAGCACUUUGAAAAGAGAGUUAAACAGCACGUGAAAUUGUUGAAAGGGAAGCGCUUGCGACCAGACUCGCCCACGGGGUUCAGCCGGCAUUCGUGCCGGUGUACUUCCCCGCGGGCGGGCCAGCGUCGGUUUGGGCGGCCGGUCAAAGGCCCUCGGAAUGUAACGCCCCCCGGGGCGUCUUAUAGCCGAGGGUGCCAUGCGGCCAGCCCAGACCGAGGAACGCGCUUCGGCUCGGACGCUGGCAUAAUGGUCGUAAGCGACCCGUCUUGAAACACGGACCAAGGAGUCUAACAUCUACGCGAGUGUUCGGGUGUCAAACCCGUGCGCGCAGUGAAAGCGAACGGAGGUGGGAACCCCUCGGGGUGCACCAUCGACCGAUCCUGAUGUCUUCGGAUGGAUUUGAGUAUGAGCGUAGCUGUUGGGACCCGAAAGAUGGUGAACUAUGCCUGAAUAGGGUGAAGCCAGAGGAAACUCUGGUGGAGGCUCGCAGCGGUUCUGACGUGCAAAUCGAUCGUCAAAUUUGGGUAUAGGGGCGAAAGACUAAUCGA
rnacentral:rRNA from 1 species